rnacentral:lncRNA from 1 species
GUGGUGGUAGGGCCCUCGGUCGAUCUUCUCUACCUUCAGACCGGUAUCAGAUGAAUCUAUUGAGUCGAUCUUGUCUGAUGAGCUCCUCGAUCUCGUCUCAGAGCUGAAUACACUCCUCCGUGUCGUGGCCAUGGUCACGAUGAUAGAGGCAGAACUUGUUAGGGUUGCACUUUUUGGGGUGUGCGUGCAUCCUUUCUGGCCUUGGCAGCUGCUCCUUGAUC